rnacentral:rRNA from 1 species
GAGCGGUAACAGGCGUAGCAAUACGUGCUGACGAGCGGCAAACGGGUGAGUAACGCUUCGGAAUCUGCCCAAUGGUGGGGAAUAACCAGCCGAAAGGUUGGCUAAUACCGCAUGAGCCCUUCGGGGGAAAGCGGGGGAUCGCAAGACCUCGCGCCGAUGGAUGAGCCGAAGCCGGAUUAGCUAGUUGGUAGGGUAACGGCCUACCAAGGCGACGAUCCGUAGCUGGUCUGAGAGGACGACCAGCCACACUGGGACUGAGACACGGCCCAGACUCCUACGGGAGGCAGCAGUGGGGAAUAUUGGACAAUGGGGGAAACCCUGAUCCAGCGACGCCGCGUGUGUGAAGAAGGCCUGCGGGUUGUAAAGCACUUUUAGUGGGGGUGAAAAGCUCAGGGCUAACACCUCUGGGUCUUGACCUAACCCACAGAAAAAGCACCGGCUAACUCUGUGCCAGCAGCCGCGGUAAUACAGAGGGUGCAAGCGUUAAUCGGAAUUACUGGGCGUAAAGCGUACGUAGACGGUUGGAUAAGUCGGAUGUGAAAGCCCCGGGCUCAACCUGGGAAUGGCACUCGAGACUGUGCAGCUAGGGUGCGGAAGAGGGAAGCGGAAUUUCCGGUGUAGCGGUGAAAUGCGUAGAUAUCGGAAGGAACACCAGUGGCGAAGGCGGCUUCCUGGUCCAGCACCGACGUUCAGGUACGAAAGCAUGGGGA